rnacentral:rRNA from 1 species
GGUCAAGCGAAUAAGCGCACACGGUGGAUGCCUAGGCGGUCAGAGGCGAUGAAGGACGUGGUAGCCUGCGAAAAGUGUCGGGGAGCUGGCAACAAGCUUUGAUCCGGCAAUGUCCGAAUGGGGAAACCCACUGCUUCGGCAGUAUCCUGCAGUGAAUUCAUAGCUGCUGGAAGCGAACCCGGUGAACUGAAAUAUCUAAGUAACCGGAGGAAAAGAAAUCAACCGAGAUUCCCUGAGUAGUGACGAGCGAACGGGGAACAGCCCUUAAGCUGGAAUGGCUUUAGAAAAACAAUCUGGAAAGAUUGGCCAUAGAAGGUGAUAGCCCUGUAUUUAAAAGGGCCACUCCAGUGAAGACGAGUAGGGCGGGGCACGUGAAACCCUGUCUGAAUAUGGGGGGACCAUCCUCCAAGGCUAAAUACUCCUGACCGACCGAUAGUGAACCAGUACCGUGAGGGAAAGGCGAAAAGAACCCCGGAGAGGGGAGUGAAAUAGAUCCUGAAACCGUGUGCGUACAAGCAGUAGGAGCUCGCAAGAGUGACUGCGUACCUUUUGUAUAAUGGGUCAGCGACUUACUGUUCGUGGCAAGCUUAACCGUAUAGGGGAGGCGAAGGGAAACCGAGUCUGAUAAGGGCGCAUAGUCGCGGGCAGUAGACCCGAAACCGGGUGAUCUAGUCAUGGCCAGGGUGAAGGUGCCGUAACAGGUACUGGAGGCCCGAACCCACGUCUGUUGCAAAAGACGGGGAUGAGCUGUGAUUAGGAGUGAAAAGCUAAUCGAACCCGGAGAUAGCUGGUUCUCCUCGAAAGCUAUUUAGGUAGCGCCUCGGACGAAUACUACUGGGGGUAGAGCACUGUUAUGGCUAGGGGGUCAUCGCGACUUACCAAACCAUUGCAAACUCCGAAUACCAGUACGUACUAUCCGGGAGACACACGGCGGGUGCUAACGUCCGUCGUGAAAAGGGAAACAACCCAGACCCACAGCUAAGGUCCCAAAUUCACUGCUAAGUGGAAAACGAUGUGGAAAGGCACAGACAGCCAGGAGGUUGGCUUAGAAGCAGCCACCCUUUAAAGAAAGCGUAAUAGCUCACUGGUCGAGUCGGUCUGCGCGGAAGAUUUAACGGGGCUAAGCAGUGAACCGAAGCUUGGGGUGCGUAAAACUUCGGUUUUAUGCGCGGUAGAGGAGCGUUCCGUAAGCCUGCGAAGGUGGAUUGAGAAGUCUGCUGGAGGUAUCGGAAGUGCGAAUGCUGACAUGAGUAACGAUAAUGCGGGUGAAAAGCCCGCACGCCGAAAGCCCAAGGUUUCCUUGCGCAACGUUAAUCGACGCAGGGUUAGUCGGUCCCUAAGGCGAGGGCGAAAGCCGUAGUCGAUGGGAAGCAGGUUAAUAUUCCUGCACCUCGCGUGAGUGCGAUGGAGGGACGGAGAAGGUUAGGUGUACCGGGCGUUGGUUGUCCCGGGGAAAGGCGGUAGGUUUGAAUCUUUGGCAAAUCCGGGAUUCUUUAAGACCGAGCACCGAGACGAGCCUUUAUGGCGAAGUCACUGAUACCACGCUUCCAGGAAAAGCUCCUAAGCUUCAGCUCACGAAGACCGUACCGUAAACCGACACAGGUGGGUAGGAUGAGAAUUCUCAGGCGCUUGAGAGAACUCGGGUGAAGGAACUAGGCAACAUGGCACCGUAACUUCGGGAGAAGGUGCACCCUUUUUGGUGGCUCAUGCGAGCUAUAGCUGAAGAGGGUCGCAGAAACCAGGCCGCUGCGACUGUUUAUCAAAAACACAGCACUCUGCAAACACGAAAGUGGACGUAUAGGGUGUGACGCCUGCCCGGUGCUGGAAGGUUAAUUGAUGGGGUCAGCCGCAAGGCGAAGCUCUUGAUCGAAGCCCCAGUAAACGGCGGCCGUAACUAUAACGGUCCUAAGGUAGCGAAAUUCCUUGUCGGGUAAGUUCCGACCUGCACGAAUGGCGUAACGACAGCGGCGCUGUCUCCACCCGAGACUCAGUGAAAUUGAAAUCGCUGUGAAGAUGCAGCGUUCCCGUGGCAAGACGGAAAGACCCCGUGAACCUUUACUAUAGCUUUACACUGAACGUUGAGUUCGUCUGUGUAGGAUAGGUGGGAGGCUAUGAAACUGUGGCGCUAGCUGCAGUGGAGCCAUCCUUGAAAUACCACCCUGUCGUGCUUGACGUUCUAACCUAGAUCCGUUAUCCGGAUCAGGGACCGUGUAUGGUGGGUAGUUUGACUGGGGCGGUCUCCUCCUAAAGAGUAACGGAGGAGCACGAAGGUACGCUCAGCGCGGUCGGACAUCGCGCACUGUGUGCAAAGGCAUAAGCGUGCUUGACUGCAAGAUCGACGGAUCAAGCAGGUACGAAAGUAGGUCUUAGUGAUCCGGUGGUUCUGUAUGGAAGGGCCAUCGCUCAACGGAUAAAAGGUACUCCGGGGAUAACAGGCUGAUACCGCCCAAGAGUUCAUAUCGACGGCGGUGUUUGGCACCUCGAUGUCGGCUCAUCACAUCCUGGGGCUGUAGUCGGUCCCAAGGGUAUGGCUGUUCGCCAUUUAAAGUGGUACGCGAGCUGGGUUCAGAACGUCGUGAGACAGUUCGGUCCCUAUCUGCCAUGGGCGUUGGAAGUUUGAGAGGGGCUGCUCCUAGUACGAGAGGACCGGAGUGGACGAACCUCUGGUGUUCCGGUUGUCACGCCAGUGGCAUUGCCGGGUAGCUAUGUUCGGAAGCGAUAACCGCUGAAAGCAUCUAAGCGGGAAGCGCGCCUCAAGAUGAGACUUCCCGGGGCACAAGCCCCCUAAAGGAACCAU